AGAAGAAGAAGAAGAUGAUGAUGAUGAUGAUGAUGAUGAUGAUCAUCAUCAUCAUCAUCAUCAUCAUCAUCAUGGUGG
rnacentral:pre_miRNA from 1 species